rnacentral:rRNA from 1 species
CUAUGCGCCUUGCCAGCCCGCUCAGGUUUGCCAGCCGCCGCGGUAAUACGUAGGUGGCAAGCGUUGUCCGGAUUUACUGGGUGUAAAGGGCGUGUAGCCGGGCUGACAAGUCAGAUGUGAAAUCCGGGGGCUCAACCCCGGGACUGCAUUUGAAACUGUCAGGCUGGAGUGCAGGAGAGGUAAGUGGAAUUCCUAGUGUAGCGGUGAAAUGCGUAGAUAUUAGGAGGAACACCAGUGGCGAAGGCGGCUUACUGGACUGUAACUGACGUUGAGGCUCGAAAGCGUGGGGAGCAAACAGG